AGGGAACCGCCUGAACUGAAACAUCUAAGUAGGGCGAGGAAGAGACAUCAAACGAGAUUCCGUAAGUAGUGGCGAGCGAACGCGGAAGAGGGCAAACCGAGAGUAGAAAUACUUUCGGGGUACGGAGCGCAUUUAGGACUUAAGUUGUUAACCGAACGGCAUGGGAAGGCCGGUCAGAGAGUGUGAGAACCACGUAGGUGAAAACGGAAAGAGCUGCGCAGAUUCCAGAGUACGGCCAGACACGUGAAACCUGGUCGGAAGAUGGGGGGACCACCCUCCAACCCUAAAUACUACCCAGUGACCGAUAGCGUAUAGUACUGUGAAGGAAAGGUGAAAAGCACCCCGGGAGGGGAGUGAAAAAGAACCUGAAACCCUGUGCCUACAAGCACCUAGAGCGCGUCAAUGCGUGAUAGGGUACUUUUUGUAGAACGGUCCGGCGAGCGAUUGUAUGCAGCAAGGUUAAGGACUUAAGGUCUGGAGCCGAAGCGAAAGCGAGUUUGAAAAGGGCGUUAAGUUGCAUAUAAUGGGCCCGAAACCGGGUGACCUACCCAUGGUCAGGUUGAAGUGGAAGUAAAAUUCCAUGGAGGACCGAACCGACCUCCGUUGAAAAGGCGGCGGAUGAACUGUGGGUAGCGGAGAAAUUCCAAUCGAACCCGGAGAUAGCUGGUUCUCCCCGAAAUAGUUUUAGGACUAGCCUCAAGUUAGAUACCUGGAGGUAAAGCACUGAAUAGCCUAGCGGCCGAGAGGUUAGCGAAGCUUAUCAAACUCAGAAUGCCAGAGUAUUGAUGCUUGGGAGUCAGACAGUGUCAGAUAAAUGUCAUUGUCAAAAGGGAAACAGCCCAGAUCUACAGCUAAGGUCCCAAAGUCAGGUUAAGUGGAAAACGAUGUGAAGAUACGCAGACAACCAGGAUGUUGGCUCAGAAGCAGCCACUCAUUCAAAGAGUGCGUAAUAGCUCACUGGUCGAGCGUCUUUGCGCGGAGAAUUUAACGGGGCUAAACCUGACACCGAAGCUUAGGCAGCAUGUUUACAUGCUGGGUAGGGGAGCGUUGUAUACGCGGUGAAACAGUAGCGCAAGCGGCUGUGGAGUGUAUAGAAGUGAGAAUGCCGGAAUGAGUAGCGCGAAUGCAGUGAGAAUCUGCAUGGCCGAAAGCCUCAGGUUUUUGGAGGAAGGUUCGUCCGCUCCAAGUUAGUCGGGAGCUAAGGUGAGGCCGGAAGGCGUAGCCGAUGCACAGACGGUAGAGAUUCCGUCACCACCAAAAGAGUUAAGCACAGGGACACAUUUGAAGUCUCAGAGCCGGGUGUUGGUUCCGGUAGAGAUCGAGGGAAGUUAGUACCGAAGUCUGAGAUGGAAGAUGGCGAGAAAAGCUGUGUGUAUUUCUGAGGUGCCCGUACCGCAAACCGACACAGGUAGGUAGGAAGAAGAUUCUAAGGCCAACGGGAGAAGGGUUGUUAAGGAACUCGGCAAAUUGACCCCGUAACUUCGGGAGAAGGGGUGCUCCAGAGAUGGAGCCGCAGAGAAUCGGCCCAAGCAACUGUUUACCAAAAACACAGGUUUGUGCUAAAUCGAAAGAUGACGUAUACGAGCUGACGCCUGCCCGGUGCUGGAAGGUUAAGAGGAGAUGUGCAAGCAUUGAAUCGAAGCCCCAGUGAACGGCGGCCGUAACUAUAACGGUCCUAAGGUAGCGAAAUUCCUUGUCAGGUAAGUUCUGACCCGCAUGAAAGGCGUAAUGAUUUGGGCACUGUCUCAACAGCCCGCCCGGCGAAAUUGUAGUAC
rnacentral:rRNA from 1 species